rnacentral:ncRNA from 22 species
GGGUGCGCGAUCCCCUAUUGGAUCGGCAGGUUGUUGCGCUGGUCGGGCCGCCAGCG